rnacentral:tRNA from 1 species
CACCUCCCUUACACUGAGAAGAUGUCCGUGCAAUUCGGACCACCCUG